rnacentral:rRNA from 1 species
AACGAACGCUGGCGGCGUGCCUAACACAUGCAAGUCGUGCGAGAAAGUUCCUUCGGGAGCGAGUAAAGCGGCGCACGGGUGAGUAACACGUAGGUAACCUGCCCCCCAGUCUGGAACAACUAGAGGAAACUCUAGCUAAUGCCGGAUGAGACCACGAUCCCUUCCGGGGUUGGCGGCCAAAGAUGGCCUCUACUUGUAAGCUAUCGCUGAGGGAUGGGCCUGCGGGCCAUUAGCUUGUUGGUGAGGUAACGGCUCACCAAGGCUGUGAUGGCUAGCUGGUCUGAGAGGAUGACCAGCCACACUGGGACUGAGACACGGCCCAGACUCCUACGGGAGGCAGCAGUGGGGAAUAUUGCGCAAUGGGCGAAAGCCUGACGCAGCGACGCCGCGUGGGUGAUGAAGGGCC